rnacentral:rRNA from 1 species
ACACACAAAUACACUGAUCUGAGCACUCCCCUUCCCCAUCCUUGUUGCAUAUUUUACUUUAUAGGGGCAAGAAAUAAACUUGUUUUUCAGGGUCAGGCCUGGUUAGUACUUGGAUGGGAGACCACCUAGGAAGACCAGGUGCUGUAGGCA